GUGUAUUCUAUUUGCGCGUGGCAUUGGCUGUCUAUACUCAUGCGAUCGCUGCUGAGCUCGUGAGCAAGAGGAACUUACUACUAGGCCUACCCACUAGUACGAUACUCCCUCUGACUGUCCUUAUUACAGUGGUAACUGGUUUUUGCACUGACAGUUUGGAGCAUGAUAAAACUUCAACUUGUGAAUUCAUGAGAUCAUCGAUGAUAUUGCUUCAAACUAUCUGACUUUCACCAACCUCUACUUCUUCAGUGAUGGCACCUGGUUCACAUUAAAAAGACCAAGUUUGUAUUCAGAAUCAGAUACAGGUAACAAAGUCAAAGAUGACAGACAAGGGAGACAAAGACAAGAAAGUGGAUCUUGGUCUUCUGGAAGAGGAUGAUGAAUUUGAAGAAUUUCCUGCAGAAGAAUGGAAACGUGACGAAGAAGAUCAAUCAGAUAACAAUGUAUGGGAAGACAACUGGGAUGAUGACAAUGUAGAAGACGACUUCUCUAAGCAACUUAGAACUGAACUUGAGAAACAUGGUCACAAAGUCAGCAACCAAGAGCAAGAGCCAAUGAGAUCAUAGCAUUUGUAAAAAUCAUCCUCUGUAUAUUUUGUAUCAUAAUCUUUGUUAAAGAUUAAAUCGUAGCAGAUUUCAUUCCAUUUGGGGCACGAAAAGGAUUGUAAUCAUAUUUGUUCCCAUCAUAAGUUAUUUUCAUGUAACUUAAUGCUCUCAAUUACCACCAUUGCAGCAACUGUAACUAGUCUCAUAAUCAAGAUUUAUACUGACUGCAUUGUGCUAAUGUAUGGUAGAACUGGGGUUAGUUUCAGAAAGAGUUGCAAGAAAAGGUAACUCCAGAAAUCAAACAAAACUUGAAUUUUAACCAAUCAGAAGCGUGUGUUUGGAUUUGUAGUUGCGUUUCACACAACUCUUUGUAUUCUUGGCCCUUGGACUAGAAACUUUUACUUAGUUAGUUUUGGUAGACAAUGGUUUAGAGGUGCAAGGGGUAUGAUAUAUGAUUUGUUGCAUAAAUCUAUGAAGUGAUGCGAAUAUGUGAGCACAUGCGAAUCGAUUUAAAAUAAUCAGAAGUAUAACUUUCAGACUUCUAAAGUUGUAAUUUAUUGCAAAGUUAUGCAACAAUCAUCAAAUACAAGUAAAAGUUUUUACAUGUACAGUGUAAUUCAUAAAUAAAGAUACAUGUAAGUGAUAGUGAUUUUUGUCUUGCCUGCAUAGCACAGCUAGACAAUAGCCGCUACUUUUCUGGCGGCUGUGGCAUCAACAUCAAAUCUUACCGAAGGUUAAGUUGUUAAAAUGACAUAACUUAGAAAGUAUAUGGACCUAGUUCAUGAACUUGGACAUAAGGUUAAUCAAGUAUUACUGAACAUCCUGCCUGAGUUUCAGAUAACAUGACCAAGAAAGGUCAUUUAGGGUCAAUGAACUUAGACGAUGUUGGGGGAAUCAAAAUCUUAACCUAAGGUUAAGGUUUUGAAAUUUUAUUAUAACCUAGAAAGUAUAUGAACCUAGUUUAUGAAACUUAAACAUAAGGGUUAUGAAUUGCAGUAUUAGAGCCUAUCCCUAGAAAGGACAGACAUCUGACGAAUAUUCCAUAGGCUCCUGUACAAGAUUUGUCGUUGAACAUGAGACCUUAAUUCUACAGUCUAGGGCGCAUGCGCAAAUAACAAAUGAGUGAAAUAUCCAAUGCGUAUAACAAUGAAAGCAAUGCAAUGCACAGCAUAGAGCACAAAUAUGCUCAAUGACAUCAUAAUAAACUAUAUGUAAGUCACAUGUCAACAUCCAAAUUUGCUCCUAUGAUGUGAUGAUACCAUAAUGUGAUAAGUGAUAUGACUUGUUAAAUCAAAUUUCUCCCUCUUUUUUUUGGGGGGGGGGGGUGUAGAUGAUAAUUUUUUGGGAUGGCUAUAUUUCAUAAAAUACCAGAAAUAUUCCUCUUGUUAGGGCCAAUAUACAACUCAUCUGCGAUUCGUAGUAUAUUUGCCCAAACGCUCAGUUCACAUGACCAAGGUCAAAGGUCAUUUAGCUUAGGGUCAAUGAACCUUGGCCAAUUUGUGGGUAUUUAUUGAAAUUCCAAUGUAACUUUGAAGGUUUAUGGAUCUACUUCAUAAAACUUGGACAUAAGAGUAAUCAAGUAUCGCUGAACAUCCUGUACAAGUUUGAGGUCACGUGUCAAAGGUCAUUUAGGGCCAGUGUACUUUGAGUUGGGGUUAUUUGUUGAAAUUGCAAUAUAACUUAUAAGUUUAUGGAUCUAGUUCAUAAAACUUGUACAUAAGAGUAAUGAAGUAUCAUUGAACAUCCUGUAUGAGUUUCAGGUCACAUGAUCAAGGUCAAAUGUCAUGUAGGGUCAAUGAAUAUAGUAUUAUAUCAUUAGAUUUUUUAUACUUAUUUUAAAGUAGAUUUCAAAGUUGCACUGCUGCUUUAUAUAAUUGCAUAAUGCAGGUGAGACUGCCAGAGGCACUCAACUUGUUAAUGUCUUUAUCUGUUGCAUGUUUAAAUUCUGAAAUUACACUAAGCUACACUAUAGUCUACCCUCUAUAUUGAGCCCUUGUAGUCCCAUCAAACCUCAAUCACAUUUGCUCUAUGGUGUCCGUAUGGCAAGUCAAAAACAGCUGUUUUAUUCAUUUUUAUUCAAACCACCUAUAUGUUGCUGGUAAAAAGACUUAAAUCACCUGUUUUUUACUUGCUGUUUGGCCGCCAUAGAUCAAAGUAUAUGUAUGUGACUGAGGUAUAAGCAGGGAAUUAGUGUUGACCUACAUGUAUUUAUAUAACAUUGAUUCAUUUGAGUGGAUUUGAGGGAGAUACAUGUACCACUUAUUGUCCUCAAAGUAGUCCCAUAUUUUCCAAGCCUAUAUAAGGGCAAUUGGGUUUACACUGAGGGAAAUAUAUGUUUGCUUACUGUGCUAUCUCCUGAAAAUUAACACCAAUCGUUAUUCUUGUUAUAACCCACAGCUGUAUAAUCUGUAAUUGAAGCUAUUAUUUGUAGCAAUUGAUGUUCAUGUUUGCCUGUCAGUUACUUCUGAUUUGGUAUUCAUGAACUUGAUGAAGUUAUCUUGAAUAAUUUAUUAUUACGUAUAUAUUGUUCUAGUACAGGGGCGGUAUUCUGAAUAUCGUGUUCAAUUUGGUGUCAACUUUCAUGUUAUCUCUCUGAUUUAACAUGCUGUUAACAUACCCCAAUCGGUAGUCUGAAAACUAUUAUAUGCGUGCUAUUUUAUUUCAUAUUAUCUCCAGCCCCUCCUAUUCUGCAUUGAUUUAAUUCAGUCAUAUGCGCUGUUAAAGUGAUUGGUUAACAUUGGUUUGACUUUUAUAAAAUCUGAGCUAGAAGGUCA